rnacentral:rRNA from 1 species
GAAUAAGUAAUGUGAAUUGCAGAAUUCAGUGAAUCAUCGAAUCUUUGAACGCACCUUGCACCUCUCAGUAUUCUGAAAGGUACACCUGUUUGAGUGUCAUU